rnacentral:misc_RNA from 1 species
GAUGAAGAACGCAGCGAAAUGCGAUAAGUAAUGUGAAUUGCAGAAUUCAGUGAAUCAUCGAAUCUUUGAACGCACAUUGCGCCCGCUAGUAUUCUGGCGGGCAUGCCUGUUCGAGCGUCAUUUCAACCCUCAAGCUCUGUUUGGUGUUGGGAAUCGGCGUAGCGGCCUUCGGGCAGCUGCCGUUCCCUAAAUCUAGUGGCGGUCCCGCUGUAGCCUCCUCUGCGUAGUAGUUUUCUCCUCGCACCGGCAGCUUAGUGGUGACCUCGCCGUAAAACCCCCAACUUCUGAAAGGUUGACCUCGAAUCAGGUAGGAAUACCCGCUGAACUUAAGCAUAUCAAUAAGCGGAGGA